rnacentral:tRNA from 1 species
GGCAGGGUAGGGCAGUGGGUAGCCCUGUUGCCUCCCAGUCAGAAGGUCUCCUGUUCGAAUCCCGUCCAGUACCUUGCUG